GAAAUUUUCAAGCUUUGGAUAAAAGGUCAUAAGGUGAUCGUUCUAGACAUUCCGUUGUUCUAGCUAUUCCAAUCAUUGAUGGAUUGAAGGAGAAAUUCGCUAAGGCAACGAGGUGAAACGAUGUUAAAGCUAUUGUUCUUACGGCAAGGGAGGAAGGUUUUCCGGUGGUUUUGAUAUCAAUGUUUUCACGAAAGUUCAUGGAACCGGUGUUUCUAGCCCACGGACUACAGCUUGAGAAAAUAAACAAAGCUUUAAUAUUUGAUUGUAAAUUGUCUUGCAACGUUUAGAUGUUUUGUUGUUUUUAUUAAUAAACAAGAUCUUGUAUUUGGACUUCUUUGUUAGUAAAAGACUUGUUGUAUUUUAUUUAUAUCUUUAUAUUUAAUCUAAUUUUUA